rnacentral:rRNA from 1 species
UGAGUAAUCUGCCCUUCUCAUCGGAAUAAGCGUUGGAAACGACGUCUAAUGCCGAAUACGACCUCCUUUCGCAUGAUCGGAGGUGGAAAGCUCCGGCGGAGAAGGAUGAGCUCGCGGUCUAUCAGCUAGUUGGUGUGGGUAAUGGCCCACCAAGGCGACGACGGGUAGCCGGCCUGAGAGGGUGACCGGCCACACUGGGACCGAGACACGGCCCAGACUCCUACGGGAGCAGCAGG